rnacentral:rRNA from 1 species
AGCAGCCGCGGUAAUUCCAGCUCCAAUAGCGUAUAUUAAAGUUGUUGCGGUUAAAAAGCUCGUAGUUGAAUUUCGGGAUCAAUUUAUCGGUCGUGCCUAUGGUAUGAACUGGUACAAUUGGUUUCUCCCUUCUGACGAAGCAUGAUGUCAUUAAUUUGGUGUCGUGGGGAAUCAGGACUGUUACUUUGAAAAAAUUAGAGUGUUUAAAGCAAGCAUUAGCUUGAAUACAUUAGCAUGGAAUAAUGAAAUAGGACGUUUGAUCCUAUUUCGUUGGUUUCUAGGAUCGACGUAAUGAUUAAUAGGGAUAGUUGGGGGCAUUAGUAUUCAAUUGUCAGAGGUGAAAUUCUUGGAUUUAUUGAAGACUAACUACUGCGAAAGCAUUUGCCAAGGAUGUUUUCAUUAAUCAAGAACGAAAGUUAGGGGAUCGAAGACGAUCAGAUACCGUCGUAGUCUUAACCAUAAACUAUGCCGACUAGGGAUCGGAUGAUGUUAAUUUUUUAAUGACUCA